rnacentral:rRNA from 1 species
AUUGAACGCUGGCGGCAUGCUUUACACAUGCAAGUCGAACGGCAGCACGGAGGCAACCCUGGUGGCGAGUGGCGAACGGGUGAGUAAUGCAUCGGAACGUGUCCUUAAGUGGGGAAUAACGCAUCGAAAGAUGUGCUAAUACCGCAUAAACUCUGAGGAGAAAAGCAGGGGAUCGCAGGACCUUGCGCUAAAGGAGCGGCCGAUGUCUGAUUAGCUAGUUGGUGGGGUAAAGGCCUACCAAGGCGACGAUCAGUAGUUGGUCUGAGAGGACGAACAACCACACUGGGACUGAGACACGGCCCAGACUCCUACGGGAGGCAGCAGUGGGGAAUUUUGGACAAUGGGCGAAAGCCUGAUCCAGCCAUGCCGCGUGAGUGAAGAAGGCCUUCGGGUUGUAAAGCUCUUUCAGUCGGAAAGAAACGAUUGUGACUAAUACUCACAAUUAAUGACGGUACCGACAGAAGAAGCACCGGCUAACUACGUGCCAGCAGCCGCCGUAAGAC